UGCCUUUGGAUUCCAAGUAGAAAGAUGAUUUUGUUUUUUCUAUCUUAGUAAUAAAAAUGAAAGGUUAAUACCAUUGUGUUCUCUGAAUAUUGCUACGGCUGAUAUGCUACUUGAUUAAAUAACUUGUGGUUUUCUUAAACUAGCAACAUUUCUAAUUUUCUCUUUUUGGGAGGAUAACAGUAAUUUGCGUGGUCUUAACAUCUGUAAUUUGGUGAGGACUUUCCAUUCAUUGGAUAUUAAGAUGUCCAGUUGUUGAUAUUCGGAAAAUCUGCUCAUCUUUUCUUUUGUUAGUCUCGCCAUGAAGGAAAGGUAUGGAAUUGCGUCAUGCUGCUAACUUUGCUUUUUUCACUAUGGAGUUGAGGCCCUUACUCUUAGCUACAUAUACUAACUGAGCAACAAUAAAGCAAGACAUUUGUCGAUGGUGGUCGGACCCUUCCCCGGACCCUGCGCAAGCGGGAGCUAUGUGCACCGAGCUGCCCUUUUAUUUGUCGAUGGUGGAAAGAAGCAACGAUUGUGUCCUCGCAAUUGCGAAGUCUGAGAUUGAACUACUGAAAUUCAGGGUCCCUAUCUUUUUGAAACAACACAUACACCGGCCGCAGAGCCGGUCUCUCGCAUAGGCAACGAUCGCUCUCACGAACACUACUGCUAGAUAAUCAGAGUAGUAUCAGAAGCUCCAUUGCUGGAUCAAGGCUCGCCAAACCCACAGUUGGAUGACACUGGUGGACGCAAGACGUGAUGCAUCUAUGGUUAUUUUAGAAAACAAACACUAUAUGAGGGGCCAUUUCAUCUCGCAAUGGACUUUAAGAUGGGGAUUCAUUUGUGAUGUCAUGGUACUGAUACACUCGAAUUAUUCAGAAAACUAUACAGUAUACUAUUUAUGGUAACGUCCAUCAGCUGAUCACAGAGAUCUUUGAGAAUCAACCCUGGCCUCUUCAGGAUUUAACCUCUGAAUUAUUUUUUGAAUGAGAUGUAGUUUUUGUAGCCAAGAUAUGCAUGAUACGCAUGCCAAAGUCUCAUGACCAGUUUAUUUGUUAUGUAAUUUAGCUUAAUAAUACCUCCUGAUAUAUAUUUUUUCACUAUCUUUUUUGUCUGGUUAUUGUGAAUGAGUAGAAUGAACAAGCCUAGGAUUAAAGUUCACACACAGGGUAAGCUUCUCACUUGAGUUUGCAUGUAUUACACCCUUAACCAAAAAGGCACGGGCUGAAAUGCUCCCGCAAUUAAAGGGCGCACAGCUCUGCCUCAAGAGGCGCGCCAGGGCGCGCCCCAUCCACUAGUUCAAAGACAAUAUGUAGCCAUGUUCUGUCUAGUUGUGAAGACGGAACGCAUG